rnacentral:rRNA from 2 species
CGAAUGGGGAGAUUCAUCGUCAGCGUGGCGCGGCGCUUGUGCGGUUCGCGAUGACUCGGGGUCUUUUGAUUCCUUGUCACGCGUCCGCAUGGUCAUACAUGCCCGCCAUCGUCGGCGUGCACUUCUCCCCUAGUAGGACGUCGCGACCCGUUGGGUGUCGGUCUACGGCCCGGUGUGGUAGACUGUCGUGCGUCACGGUUUAAUCGCCGUCGCGCGGCAGACCCCCGGUCGCCCGACCAGCUGCCCGGCGGUACUCGCAAGGUAUCGAGCCGCAAUUUCUUCUCGAAGAAAUCUGCGUCCGGCCCGUCGCAAGCUUGGCAAGUGUUUACCCGGAUGUUACGGACCUAGCGCCGUCACCGGGCCUGGCCAGCUGUUGGCAGACGGUGCUCUCGGAC